UGAGUAACCUGCCCUUCACUCUGGGAUAACUCCGGGAAACCGGGGCUAAUACUGGAUAUGACUCGAACAGGCAUCUAUUUCGGGUGGAAAGAUUUAUUGGUGGAGGAUGGACUCGCGGCCUAUCAGCUUGUUGGUGAGGUAAUGGCUCACCAAGGCGACGACGGGUAGCCGGCCUGAGAGGGCGAUCGGCCACACUGGGACUGAGACACGGCCCAGACCUCCGUACGGGAGCA
rnacentral:rRNA from 1 species